rnacentral:rRNA from 1 species
UACGGGGGGGGCAAGCGUUGUUCGGAAUUACUGGGCGUAAAGAGCUCGUAGGUGGUUUGUCGCGUUGUUCGUGAAAACUCACAGCUCAACUGUGGGCGUGCGGGCGAUACGGGCAGACUAGAGUACUGCAGGGGAGACUGGAAUUCCUGGUGUAGCGGUGGAAUGCGCAGAUAUCAGGAGGAACACCGGUGGCGAAGGCGGGUCUCUGGGCCGAUACUGACGCUGAGGAGCGAAAGCGUGGGGAGCGAACAGG